CAGGAAGAAAGCUUGCUUUCUUUGCUGGCGACCGGCGCACGGGUGAGUAACACGUAUCCAACCUGCCCUUUACUCGGGGAUAGCCUUUCGAAAGAAAGAUUAAUACCCGAUAGCAUAAUGAUUCCGCAUGGUUUCAUUAUUAAAGGAUUCCGGUAAAGGAUGGGGAUGCGUUCCAUUAGGUUGUUGGUGAGGUAACGGCUCACCAAGCCUUCGAUGGAUAGGGGUUCUGAGAGGAAGGUCCCCCACAUUGGAACUGAGACACGGUCCAAACUCCUACGGGAGGCAGCAGUGAGGAAUAUUGGUCAAUGGGCGUUAGCCUGAACCAGCCAAGUAGCGUGAAGGAUGAAGGCUCUAUGGGUCGUAAACUUCUUUUAUAUAAGAAUAAAGUGCAGUAUGUAUACUGUUUUGUAUGUAUUAUAUGAAUAAGGAUCGGCUAACUCCGUGCCAGCAGCCGCGGUAAUACGGAGGAUCCGAGCGUUAUCCGGAUUUAUUGGGUUUAAAGGGAGCGUAGUGUGGACUGGUAAGUCAGUUGUGAAAGUUUGCGGCUCAACCGUAAAAUUGCAGUUGAUACUGUCAGUCUUGAGUACAGUAGAGGUGGGCGGAAUUCGUGGUGUAGCGGUGAAAUGCUUAGAUAUCACGAAGAACUCCGAUUGCGAAGGCAGCUCACUGGACUGCAACUGACACU
rnacentral:rRNA from 1 species